CGGGUGGCCCUCAGCAGCAUCAAACCCAGCAGACACCAGGACCAGGUCUGGAGAGAACUCUCGGGCGAUGGGCAUCACGACUAUCCUGUGAGGUCACAAGAAGUGGCAGUCAUCGUACUGCGCAGGGUUGCCAGGGUCCCCACAGCUGCCUCCACCUACCCCUAACCCAACUCUGGGGCCUGCCUGGGUGCUCUUCAAAGCCCUGAGCUCGGAGAAGACUCCAGGAACUCCGACCCAGGAUUAGCUGUCGGAGACAACUCCAGAAAAGUGUUUCAAGAUCCAUUUCCAGAGCUCUCUUUCCCCAAAUGGGCUGCAGGAACCCCAGUAUGAAAUAUAUGAGGGCUCCUGAACAGAUCCUGAAGCCCCUCUUCCAGAAUAGUUUUUCUCAAGUUACUCUUCCAAUAUGGACAUUAUACGCUUUGUCUCCUCCACAAUUUAAGUUUCUGUUCUCCUGCUCAAAGCCCACCUCCUGCAGGCAGCCUUCUCUGACUAAAUGUGUCAGCUCUGCUCACUCCAUUGCCCAUCUGCCAGCAAUCGGUUUGACACUGGCUCUGGGUAAUGUCUGCCUCUGCAAAGCGCCCUUUGACUUCUACGUUCUUCUCUCUGUGUCCUAUGCCCACUGCUGUUCACCUUCCAUGUCUGGGAACUGGUGGGGACAGGCUGACAAUCCAACUGGCCACCUCCACCCCGGUGAUCUCGGAAUAAGGGACAGGAGAGGGUGGCCUUGCCCUUCUGGGCCCCCAGAGCAUGUACCUGAAAGCAGCCAGGUACUCCGGAUCCCCCAUGGGGGGGUCCAGGCCUCCAGCCCAGGCCACAUUGACAUUGAAGCCCUCACCACUGCCAGCCCCUACCUGGAAAACAGAAGGCAAGAGAGACAUGAGGACAGUAGAGUCCCAGAAGGGGAACGCCAGCAUGUCAGCGCUGCCAGCCCAGCUCAUCCAGCCUCCUCAUUUCCAGGUGGGGAAGCUGAGGAUCAAAGAGCCUUGGCAAUCUGCCCAGGAUCACAUAGCUGGUCAUGACAGCGGCAGAGUAAGCGCCAGGAGGAGAGUUGAUGAGGCUGGAAGAUGUGGCCCUGAUGUGCAGUUACCUCAUCCACUGCCCCACUCCCCGGGAAGAAGUUGCCGUUGUCAUGGCGAUGCAGGGAGAUGUAGAGCACACUGGAGUCUUGGUAGAAGGUCUGCUGGGUGCCGUUGCCGUGGUGCACGUCCUGUGAAGGGAGAUGGGCAGUGAUUACGGAAGGUCCGAAGGCAGAGAGAGGGAGGCCAGGACAAGUUAGAAGGGUUUCAAGGUCAGUGGCCAUUCUGAGGUCAGGACCCUAGCCUGGGGAUCAGGAACCUGGGGUUCCUAGAGCCACAUGGUUGAGUGGCCCCACAUAAUCCACUGCCCGGCUCUGAAACUCGGUCUCUCUGUGAGGGAUGAGGCUGGCUGUAAUAUGAGAUCCUGAAGGAGAGGAAGUGUCCCAAUCUUAGGCCAGCCCACCUGAGAGAGUAACCGUGUGGACAUGGGGUUAGUGGCAUGGAGAGGGGAGGGUCCGGGGUUACACACAUCAGGAACCACUGCGUCUUGCAUAAAGUCAUGAAGUGAGGUGAUCAGGAACCAAGCUCGGUUACAGAGGGGCUGGUACAUGAGCUCUCCUAGGGAGCGCUGGGCCCUACACUCAACUCACAGAACCAUGCGGGGGCUCAAGUGUGCAAAGGUCCUCCACCAUUCUCAACUCCUGCUUAGAAACAUCUCUCACAGCUGUCAGUGCAGAAGGGAAAUCGCCUAGCAGUUAAAUGCAAGCACUCUAGAGCUGACCGGCCUGGGUUCCAAUCCAUCUCAUGACUUACGAAUGACUGUGUGUGAGUUACUUAACCUCUCUGUGCUCACUUUCACCUGUAAAGCGGGUUAUAGUCAGGAUUAAACCCAUCAUGUGUAAAACCA